rnacentral:rRNA from 1 species
UAGGGAAUCUUCCGCAAUGGGCGAAAGCCUGACGGAGCAACGCCGCGUGAGUGAUGAAGGUCUUCGGAUCGUAAAACUCUGUUAUUAGGGAAGAACAAAUGUGUAAGUAACUAUGCACGUCUUGACGGUACCUAAUCAGAAAGCCACGGCUAACUACGUGCCAGCAGCCGCGGUAAUACGUAGGUGGCAAGCGUUAUCCGGAAUUAUUGGGCGUAAAGCGCGCGUAGGCGGUUUUUUAAGUCUGAUGUGAAAGCCCACGGCUCAACCGUGGAGGGUAAUUGGACACUGGAAAACUUGAGUGCCGAAGAGGAAAGUGGAAUUCCAUGUGUAGCGGUGAAAUGCGCAGAGAUAUGGAGGAACACCAGUGGCGAAGGCGACUUUCUGGUCUGUAACUGACGCUGAUGUGCGAAAGCGUGGGGAUCAAACAGG